CUCAGAUGCUGAAAACCACCACCAAAUGGAAGAAAUUAACUACUUGAUGAUCCUGAGCACGUAGCUCCCAGAUCUUCUGGUGCCUAAGGAUUGAUCACCAGCAAGCAGAGAAUUGUGCACAGCUGGUCACACACCCUGGGAUGCCCCUCCCUCAGCUGGCUUUUACAAAUGUUCAGCUGAAACCCUUUGAGAAGUUUGGGUUGUUGUUGUUGGGUUGUUUUUUGUUUUUUGUUUUUUGUUUUUUUUUUGAGCCCGAGGCAUCCUUUCUCCUUGCUUGGCCUUGCAAUAAAACUUUCUCUGCUCCAAACUCAAAGUUUCAGUUUGACUGGCUUCUCUGUGUGUUGGGCCCAGCCACUCUGUGUCCACGGACUUGGUUCAGUAACAAUUUCGAUGAAUCAGCGUGGAGUCUGUGCCCGGGGCAGGUUGACCCCCGCCGGGGGCAGCCCCUUUCCUGGGUCCCAGCAGCUGCGGGAGCUCACUUCGCUCCCAGGACCUGGAAGGGUCUCUCCCUGACAGGCACCGGUACAAGGCUGUUUGGAGAAGUGUCCGGAGCUGUGGUCUACAUUCGGUGUCACCUGGGGUUAUAACAUUUGCCUGCAGAGAAUAAAAC